rnacentral:rRNA from 1 species
AGUGAACGCUGGCGGUAGGCCUAACACAUGCAAGUCGAACGGCAGCACAGUAAGAGCUUGCUCUUACGGGUGGCGAGUGGCGGACGGGUGAGGAAUACAUCGGAAUCUACUUUUUCGUGGGGGAUAACGUAGGGAAACUUACGCUAAUACCGCAUACGACCUACGGGUGAAAGCAGGGGAUCUUCGGACCUUGCGCGAUUGAAUGAGCCGAUGUCGGAUUGGCUAGUUGGCGGGGUAAAGGCCCACCAAGGCGACGAUCCGUAGCUGGUCUGAGAGGAUGAUCAGCCACACUGGGACUGAGACACGGUCCAGACUCCUACGGGAGGCAGCAGUGGGGAAUAUUGGACAAUGGGCGCAAGCCUGAUCCAGCCAUACCGCGUGGGUGAAGAAGGCCUUCGGGUUGUAAAGCCCUUUUGUUGGGAAAGAAAAGCAGCAGGUUAAUACCCCGCUGUUCUGACGGUACCCAAAGAAUAAGCACCGGCUAACUUCGUG